UGGGGAAUUUUGCGCAAUGGGCGAAAGCCUGACGCAGCAACGCCGCGUGAGUGAAGAAGGCCUUCGGGUUGUAAAGCUCUUUCGGCAGGGAAGAAGGGUGAUGUCGUGAACAAUUACAUCAUCUGACGGUACCUGAAUAAGAAGCACCGGCUAACUCCGUGCCAGCAGCCGCGGUAAUACGGAGGGUGCAAGCGUUGUUCGGAAUUACUGGGUGUAAAGGGCGCGUAGGCGGGCGCGAAAGUCGAUUGUGAAAUCCCCGGGCUUAACCCGGGAACUGCAGUCGAUACUUCGUGUCUUGAGUGCUUGAGAGGAUGGUGGAAUUCCUGGUGUAGAAGUGAAAUUCGUAGAUAUCAGGAGGAACACCGGAGGCGAAGGCGGCCAUCUGGCGAGACACUGACGCUGAGGCGCGAAAGUGCGGGGAUCAAACAGG
rnacentral:rRNA from 1 species